UACGAAGGGUGCAAGCGUUACUCGGAAUUACUGGGCGUAAAGCGUGCGUAGGUGGUUUUUUAAGUCCGUUGUGAAAGCCCUGGGCUCAACCUGGGAAUGGCAGUGGAUACUGGAAAGCUAGAGUGCGGUAGAGGGUAGUGGAAUUCCCGGUGUAGCAGUGAAAUGCGUAGAUAUUAGGAGGAAUACCAGUUGCGAAGGCGGCUCUCUGGACUGUAACUGACACUGAGGCACGAAAGCGUGGGGAGCAAACAGG
rnacentral:rRNA from 1 species